AGGAGAAAUAUCAGAUGGUUCCUCAUCGCAUGCAGUUCCUUAUGAGGUGAAGAAACAGAUGGUGGAUCUGUGGGCCUUAACCCACAGGUACAGGGAAGAAUAGAAACAGCUCCGCACAGAGAUGAUAGGUGCUAUCGAUGGGACUCAUGUCUACAUCAGGAGUCCUGAUGGGGAUCAAGCCCU